CAGGGGGGGAACGUAUUAUCUGAAUGGUGACACUGUUAGAUUUAAUAGAGGACAAGUAAGUAGAGCAAUGAUUUCUUUCUCUCUAUUCACAUCAACUUCCCCUUUCCAUCCUGCGUUUCCCCCAGGUCCAUCACCUUCAGGGUGCUCUCUGAUCCUGACAGUUGGUCUACCGACAUUUCAAGAUCAGUGUGGUCAUGGAAGACCUCAGCUGUUCGUCCCCAGCAUCUCUCCUCCACCUCUGUUGCUGCAGUCACUCAUUCUUUUGGGGUUUACAAAGUCUUCUUGGGAAAUACUUGCCCCAUCCCGGCACACAGAGUGGAGCAGUGCAGAAUGUAGCCAAAAGGAUGGUUCCACGACUCCCACCCAGGACAGAGAAGUUCUAUUUCAUGCAUCGGCGUGCCUCCACUAAAUGGCUAGUGUCUACCCUCUCUUGUUGCUGGG
rnacentral:lncRNA from 1 species